UAGUCAUAUGCUUGUCUCAAAGAUUAAGCCAUGCAUGUGUAAGUAUAAGUAUUAUACGGCGAAACUGCGAAUGGCUCAUUAAAACAGUUAUAAUUUAUUUGAUAAUCGAAAGUUACAUGGAUAACCGUGACAAAUUACAGCUAAUACAUGCAAUCAAACCCGGUCAAAUGGGUUGUAAUUAUUAGAUAUUAAACCAUUUCCGCAAGGAAUGUGAUGAAUCAUAGUAAUCGAACGAAUUGCAGUUUACUGCAAUAAAUCAUUCAAGUUUCUGCCCUAUCAGCUUUGGAUGGUAGUGUAUUGGACUACCAUGGCUAUCACGGGUAACGGAGAAUUAGGGUUCGAUUCCGGAGAGGGAGCCUGAGAAACGGCUACCACAUCUACGGAAGGCAGCAGGCGCGAAAAUUGCCCAAUCCUGACACGGGGAGGCAGUGACAAGACAUAACUACCCUAGGAAGUUCUCUUAGGAGUGUAAUGAGGAUAAUUUACAAACCUUACUUAAAGCAAUU
rnacentral:rRNA from 1 species